AUGGAGAAGGGAUGCUGGUUGUGUCAGAGUGCACAUUCCCGACCCUCCCUGACACGGCGCUGCUCCCGAAGCCUGUCAGUGCAGUGUCAACAUCUUUCCAUAGGAACUGCACCAGGAUCAGGCAGCUCUGAUCUUUAUUACUUCCUGAAAACAGUUGAUCUUUAAAGCUCAAACUAUAACUGCUGUCAGCUUAGCUCACAGCCUCCUUCUAUCGGUAUUUACAAGUUACAUUUUAUAUUGUAAAGAAGUCCAGGCUCAAGGGAGUUUGUCCACAAAGCAGACAGAUGGGAAUUAAAGCACAUUUUCCUCAAAUCUGCCUGAAAUCUAAACUUUUAUUAUUAGCCAUCCCCAGUGUGAUAAUAAACUCCAGUCCCUGACAGCAACAUAUGGAUCUCAUCUCCACUGUAGUCCAAUAUUACAAUAAUCCACAGUGACCUGAUAAACAGGCUCAAUCCAACAGAUUUUACUUCACCCUAUCAGUGAGAAAGUUAUGGUAUAUGACAGAAAUUCACAAAAAAAAAAACAAAACCACCAACCUGGAAUAUUUUGUGUUAUUUCCCACAACCCCCUACAACUCCCAAAUACGUGUGUCUGUAUUGUUCUAAGACACAAGGAGCUUGUUUUUCUUCUAAUUACACUGGUUUGAAGUAAUUAUUCUCAUUUAUUCUCUAUGUACAUGAGCAUAUCAAAAUAAGAAUUGACCCAGUAUCAAAUCUUCCCUGUUUUAGGAAUUAUUCCAACUGCUUGUUACACUGAAGGUCCAUGAGAGCCUGGGAGAAUGUAUCCACAUGCAGGCUUAUCUCUUCAUUUCAGACCAUUCAUCAUUCCUUGCCUGGAAGCAACAGUUAAUUUCCAACAACUCAAUGUCAAGAUGGCAGUUUAAAUCCUCUUGAGGAUUGCCCCAGGAGAAGAUUUUGUCCCAGUUCUUUUGCAGCCGCUGUAGAGUCAGCCUCUUUUGAUGUCACUCAGUUUUAGAGUGGGAUAGAAAUAAAGAAAGAGUGAAGAUCUACUGGUGACCAUCCCAACUCAAGGAAGGAUCAUCUCUCCAGAGGCUGCUCUUGGGAUUUCAACAGGGACAGAAAUUAAGAGUCAGAAUGGUUUAGGUUGGAAGGGGCUGUAAAGAUCACCCAUGUUCAUCCCUCCUGCCACCUCCCACUAUCCAGAAAGGAAAAACACGGCCUGCCAGAAAAUGCUGCAUGUCAUGGAGAGCAUUUCCUAGGGUUUAUCAUUUUCUCUGGAUAUAGAUUAGCACAAGUCUUGCAUGAAGUAGGAGAUACUUCCAAGUUAGAGUGGAGGAGAAGGACCUGAGCCAACACAACAGACUGGACCUUUCUGAAAUGUCACAUCACAACCAGACCUGUCCCCCAGACCUCCCAAACAGCAACCACAAUAAAAGUGCCAGAAAGAACGUCCAGAGCAGAGCAGAAUCUUGACAUCCCCUUCUCCCCUUUUCUGUCUCUUACAUUUAUUUGGAUUCAGCUUUAUCUCUUCAGCACGUUUUACUGGUGUCAGUGGCCCUUUUACCAAGGACAAUCUGCACUGAACAUUUUGGAAAGCAAUGAUUUAAGAAGCUGCAGGUAGCACAGCAAAGUGGCUGACGAGCCAUCUCUGGAAAUCAGAAGGUGUCUAAAGAGGGUGUUUACAAGCAGAAUGCUGCUAAAAGUCUGCCUUGGUUGCAGAUAACAAGGAUGAGACAAUGACAGAUUUCCUUCCCCUGGCAGCCAAGAGCAGCUCCCCGUGAUUGCCUUGCCGUGUUUAUCCAGGAUGCUGGGAGAGAGCAGGCACCAAAUAUGCAAUUAAUUGGCAGUUUGCAAGAGCAUAUUGCCUAAAGAUAAACAGAGUGGGUGAUCAUGUCGUAUGGAAAACGGCUGAGUGCUGCAGAUGUAGUGUUGACCCAGUUUAAAAAAAAAAAAAGAAGGUUUUUUUUGUUCUCUUGGAAAAUAAAUUUACUGAAAUGAAUACUUUUUUUCUUUUUGCAUGGUCCCUCUGGCCUUUGAAUAUUUUGUGUACGUAAGCCAUUCCAGGUUCUUUGUUAAUCUGGGAGUACAUAGUAAAUUAUGAAUUAGCUGUGAAGUUUUCCUGCUGACACCAGAGGAGCAGGGGGUACACUGUGACAUGGAGCUCAUGGCCUUCACUCUUCACAGAGGGGUUUUGUGAGCAGGAGAAGACACAAGUGGAUCGAAGUGGGAAUCAGGUGAUGUGGAAAGGAACGGAACUGCCCGGGUCAGUGGAUGUGGAGAUCAGGUCCAGAGGGAGGAAUGGUUUUUCACAGAACUGGGAAUCACAGAAUGGUUUGAGGUGGAAGGGACACCCCCACUCUCCCAGGCUGCUCCAAGCCCUGUCCAGCCUGGGCACUUCCAAGGCCGGGGCAGCCACAACUUCAGGGAGGAGCUGGACCAGGAUCAGGGGCUUGGCAAAUGGAGAGAGCUGUGAGCAGGAGGGACAGGCUCUGGUUUCCAAAUACAGAUAUUGUCAGACAAAAGUUGACAUGAAACCCAGAGUCAGGGAAGGAAGAAGAUAUGGGAGAAGACUGAAUGCUACAGAGGAGCUCAGGAUAGGAUACAGAGUGUGGAAAAUACGCUGAGGCUGGAAAGGGAAGGGGAAAAGCAACCUGAACGUGAUGCUGCUUGAGCUGGGAAGCUGGAGAGACAGAAGGGAUAUCUGUGACACCAUCAGGGCAGCAGCACAAAAGCUGUGGAUCAAGUGCGAGGCACAAAUGCUAAAGAGAGAAGCUCUCACUUUCAGGAGAUGGAAUUCAUUAGGAGGAAAGUCCUUGAUGCAGAAUUUCAGACUUAAUGUUCUGCAGCUCCUGUGCAACAGUAGCAGGCAAUGAAAAUCAGUGCCCUCACAGGACAAAAGCACACUCUCCUCUCUCUUUUUUUAUAUUCAGUGCUAUAAAACUCAAGCCCAAAGCAUGUGACAGAUCUCUCACUUCAUUUUACUGUGACCACACUGACCUUACCAGCACUGGUCAGAUCCAACAGGAAAACAAGUCAUGACCUGGCAACUUCUUUGCAAGGAUAAUGCACCGAGAUCCUAUCUGGCCUGACCAACGUGAUGACACCAAAAAUGCCUUUACAAGAAUUCCUGAUCCCAUGGGGAGAUUGUUACAGCAGGCUCGGACUUGUUGUGUUGCUGGAUCCUCUCCCUGUGCCCAGGCUCUGAACAGAGUGGAUGGGGUGCACUGCACACUCCACAGAAAAUUGCUGAUCCUGAUGGGAAUGGCUCAGCAGCCUUGAAGACUCUUUCUGCCUCAUCACUUUACCCUAGGAACAGACCAAGCUGGCACAGUGCUUGGGUCUACAAAGCACAGCAAGGUAACAGCACUGAAAAAACACUCCACAGGUGUUCCAGGCCAGGCUGGACAGGGCUUGGAGCAACCUGGGACCGUGGAAGGUGUCCCUGCCCGGCAGGGGCUGGGACUGGGUGAGAUUUAAGGUCCCAAAGCAUUCCCUGAUCCAGGAUUCUGCAGGGAUGUGUGUUUUGGGCAGGGUUGGGGUGGAGGGAGGGAAAGGGCAGCGAGAAGCAGCCAAACCCCAAGCAGGAGGUGUCCCUGGGGAGGGCAGGUGUAAAGCACUGAGACACCAUCCUUUGGCUGAUGCAAAACCUCAACCUGUUCCUUACCUUGUAACUUCUCUCUGAUAAUUCUGUGCCACUGUGGGCCCCUCAAUAAUCUGCCAUGUGGCUGCUUAAGGAAAGAGCUGUAUAAUUUACCUCUGAUUGUUUCAAACACUUGGCAGGCAACAAUAGAUAAAACUGACAGGACCUUCACAGUUAACAAUGCAACCUAAUGAAGUGAAAUACUGCUCAGAGAAAUAUUGUGACAGGUAUCCAUGGAUUCAAGUAAAGGAAAAGAUGUGGUGGGGUAGACUGGGCUCUGCAGUCCUUCAGCCCUGACUGUGAAGAGAAGUCAUCAGAUCUUCCUUCCCUCUGUCUCAAUUGUGUCAGGCUGGUCUUGUUACACAGCACUGAAUGCAAGUUUGUGAAAGCACAGAAGUUACAAAAUUUCCCAUAGAGGAGCUAAAAUGAGUUGAGCUCCAUUCUGCCACAUUUUCACAUUCCUGCAGCUGUUUCCAGCAGGAGUUCACCACUUGAAUGGCACGGGCCAUGGGGAGAAGCAAUGGGGGAAAGCCCUGGUCUUGGGCAAACACAGGAGCAGGGGAGAGCUGCCAGCAGGAGCAUUUGUGUGCAGUGUUCACAGGGACAGCAGCAUUUGUGUGCAGUGUUCACAGGGACAGCAGCAUUUGUGUGCAGUGUUCACAGGGACAGCAGCAUUUGUGUGCAGUGUUCACAGGGACAGCAGCAUUUGUGUGCAGGGUUCACAGGGACAGCACUGCAGGAGCUGGGCUCGGGGGCUCUGGCCCAGCUCACUCCCAAAGGCACUGGCAGGACAUGGAACCUCGGGAGGAAGAGUUAGUGCCACUGCACACAGCCACAGGCACUUUCUAGUUUCCUUUAUCGUACAAAUUGCAGCUCAGAGCCUGAAUUAUUCAGAGCAGACUCCAGUGACAGCUCCUUGGAGCAGGGGGGAUGCAGGCCCAGAUGGCGGCUGCAGUUUCCCCUGCGCAGGCGUAUCCCGACUCCCAGGGGCUGUGGCUGGACAAUUAGCACCAUUUGCUAAGCAGGCAGGAGGCAGCGAGGCGAGCACACCGUGCUGGGCAGGCAGAGGGGCUGGAACCCUCUGCCACCAGCCCCUCUCAGGACAGAGGAUGCUGCAGCCAGCCCACACUGGGAGGGGACAGAGCCCAGGAUGGAUUGGGCUGGUUGUCUGUGGUGUCACCACUGCCUGGGCUAAAGGAGACACUCCCAAGGUCUAAUGACCAAAAGCACUGUCAGGGAGCUGCUCCCUGCUGUGAUCUUCCUGUAGGCAAGGUGUGAUUUGUCUGGGUGUGCUGUGAGGAGGCUCUGUGCACAGAGCACAAUCAAUAACUUGAUGAUAAAUCUAUCUAUAUCUAUAUCUACACACAGCCCUGGUCACCCCUCACAACAAUGCUUCUGGCUGCUUGGUCACUCUCCAUGCUGCCAGCUUUGGCCACAAUGGAGAGAGACAUUAGGCUGCAGCCUUCCCAAAAAAUCAGGGGCAAGCAGAGCAUCUGGACUUUGAGGCAAGUUAAACGCUGGGAAUUCAUUUGGUUUCCAUGGUGAAGGACUUAGAAGUUUCACUUACCCUAGGAAGAAUGGGAGGUUUCCAUUUGCUGGCCUCAGGUAAAAGUAUAAAGAAAAUUACAUCAGGAUGGGAGUGGAGACAACUGACUGGGAGAAAACUACAGGAGAAAAUGAAGGGGGGAAAUGCUGCAGCUCCAGCAGCACUGCCUCAGUAACACCAGUGUGAUGCAUCCUGGCCACAUUUUUUUAUUACCUGUCCAACUCUUUUACACAACUCAAUAAAGGCCACCCUGACCUAUGAUGGGAAUGUGCUCCAGCAGCCCUGAGGAAACAAACAGGCAGAUCCCUGGGAAGGCAGGAGAAUGGAAUUGUGGCUGUGGAGGCACACAAGGCCACGCAGGGCUCAGAGCCCACUGGGACCCCUCGGGCCCAGGGGCAGAUUCUCUUCAUCCAUGGCCACACUCUGCCUCUGCACACAGCCAGUUUAUCUGCUCUGGACAAACCUCGAGAGGGAACAUUUUAAAAAGCAUCAGGUCUGCUCUCAGCUGUACCUCCCAGCACCAGGAUGCAGCAUUCCCCAAUAAUUUAAGCUAAAGCUGUUCAAGGAAAUGUGAGACGUGCCAGGCUCCGUAUUUCUAAUGGGAGCUGCCACUGCCAGCCCCGGAAAUCAGAUGGGAAGAAGUCCUCAGACAAGGAGACUGAUUAAAAAACAUAACUGACAAUGGCAAAUAGCUUAAAGGAUUUUAAAUCCCCAAAAUUAAAUCCAUCCUCAACCCAGAAAUAAAACAUACAGAACAUCUUUACUUUCACACAAGUCAAAGUUAAUUUAAAGGCAAGGCAAUACUGUAAAGGUCACAUGGAUCUUUCACGUAUCCAUAUAUCUGACAGCUCUGUUUUUGAACUGGAUUUGAAAUGAAUUUAAAAUUUACUGAUGCUUCUGAACUCAUUAAACUAGAACUUCACAGCAGAAGGCAAAUAGGGGCAACUGGAUCAGAUCAAACAUCAUUUUCUGGGUGGCAAGAGGGAAGAAUUCUCCUGCCUGGAGCACUGAAAAGAUACCAGGAAUUCUUUGGAGCAGCUGCCCCUCUGCCCUGCAGCCCAGGCACCAAAGGCUCUGCAAUGUGUCUCCACUGCCCCACCAUUCCCUGCAUGGCACAAACGUUCCCACCAGCAAUGGCAGCAGUUUUGUCUGUCAGUGUGUUGCUCUCUCUGGGUUAAGCAGAACUUAUGUUCCAUUCACAGAAGAAAAUCAUUCUCUGUGUGAGAAAACACACAACAGGCUCGAGUGUGACACUGUUGUUACCACACCCCAGCAAAGAUGAAAGAAACAAUAAUAAUAGUAACCAAAAGUUUAAAAACAUCUCUCUGCAUAUUUCACUAUGACAGAGAUUUGCAUGUUCAUCUCCAAAACUGGGUGAAAAGAGUCUUAAAAUAUUGUUUUUGCUAUUUUAACUGUAAAUACAGGAAGCUUUUUCUGUCUCUACCUACUCAAUGACACCAUUUCAAGACUUUUUUCUACAUUUUCGUUACACAGAAAGGGGAAAAAUAGAAGUAAGGAAAGAAAGUCCUGGCUUUUAACUAGUGAAAACUCAAAGUAGUCGAAGUUAUCUAAUAAUCCUAUGAAAGUGGGGGAUGUUAUUAGCAUGGAGUGAAUCAGAGGGGGUUCUGGAAAAGCUGCACAGGGCAAGUGACCCUGAGCUGUGGCUGGAGCCAGGGACAGUACUGAGAGGGAAUCUCUCUGAGCCAAGGUGUUUGAAGGCUGCAAACAACCUGGAUGUUCAGUUUGGUGACUCACAGCUUGUGGCAGCCCAUAAAGACCUUUGUGUGAUUAAUCUCUCAGAUACAGUCCCAAAAUCCAAGUUUCAAAGGCCCCUGGCUGCAGCAUUUGGGUCCCUGGGGAAUGAAGCCCCAAACCUGUCUCUCCUGAAGCUGUGCUGAAGCUGCCUGGUGUCAUCCAGGGGCUGUCCCUCACCAGGAGAACCAGGAGCUGUUCCCAGAAGCAGCUGGAGGGAUCAGGGCUCUGCAGCUCCUGCACUCAUUCCCUCCCAGCUCCCAGCCCGAGCUGGAGUUCACUGCAGCCUCCACAACACAGCCCACCAGUCCCGUGUCCUCCGGAUGUCAUUGAUAAAUACUAAAUGAAACCACUUGGAAAGAGGGAGAAAAAACCCAUCUCCAGUGUUUUGGAGCACCUUGAGAGGCCAACAGCAGUGGCAGGCCCAAAAGGAAAGGUCUGAGGGGCCGAGCUCUGGGACAGCAGCUUUGCAGGGUCACACAGACAGGUUUGCUGGCACUCCUGCUGCACUUGUUCACAUGUUCAACAUGCCUUGUUUCACUGGGAUGAGGGUGGAAGAAAACUGCUUCCCAUCAGUUUGCCUGUGUUUGGGCUCUGUGAAGUAUUAUUUCUUAGAGGAUGAGGCAGUUUAUUGGCCAGGGAUAUUUCAGGCGUGUUUAUUUUGUUGUUGUUGUGAAUUUGGAUUAGAGGCAUCUCCUUCCUCCCCACAAUUGCUGGCAGCAUGCUAUAAAGAUAUGAUUAAUUAAAGUGUGACUAUGAAUCCACUCAGAGGCUUAGAGUUUUCCUCCUCUUAAGACUAAACAGAGAAAGGGCCACUUUACGAAGUUCAGACCUUGAAGCAGAUUUCAAAGUACACUCAGUUUAGCUCAUCAGUUUAGCUCAGCACAACGAGGAGGUUCAACCUUCAAUAUUUAAAAGCUAUGAGCCCUUGGAGAGAAGAGACUUCUGCUUCUAUUCCAAUCCCAAACAUGGAAAUAAAUAAAUAAGAGCUAAAUAACCAAGCCAGGCUCAGAAAGGACUCCAGCAGCACGGCAGAAAUACCCUGCUCACAUGGGGGACUCCUCCUUAGCCUAAGUGACAUUUUUUUACCUUUGUAGCAGCUCAGCCAUGGAACGCACACAGUCCUGAGGCUUUAGAUUAAAACAACACAUUUUGGCUCUUGCUCUGCAAGAAGCCACUGGAAAUCCUGGAAGACCUUCAAAACUGAGCAGUGUAGUACUUGAAAAAGAGACACAGCUUGACUAAAUUGAAAAAUCUGAAUUUCCUAACAUGGACUUAAAAGGUGCUACUGAAUCUUUAAUGACUGCAAGACAGAGUUGGCUCAAUCUGAGCAGGGCUCAAGGUCUUCCUUUGAAGAAGUCAAACUUAAAAAAAAUAAAAUAAGAAAAAUGCCUGCUACAUUCUAAGGUCACAAAGGGUUCCAUGAAACUCUGCAUCUCUCCCAACUCCGACUUCCUAAGUGACAGUCACUUGUGAUUCCAGAGCACCCACUUCAACCCAGCAUAAUUAGCUGGGGAAGGAAAACACACCAGCCUGAAAGAUUCCUUCUCUAACAAGAGGUUGUGAGGGGCAGCGUGCUGCAGAAACAGAUGGAAAAUGGGGCGAUUUAUUUAUUUCAAGAGCACAGAAUUCCUAUUCAUUAAAUGAUACUUUCAAGCUGUUUGGUACCCACAGUUUUCUGACUGACGGAUGGCUCAGAGGGAAGGAUUGGGAGUGGGAAGCACAGGUUUUGUUGCUCAUGGUAUCCAUGGGGUCAUUCCCAGCCCUCUUUUCCAAGCUCUCACACUAAUUUCCCACCACCAGUAUUAUCUUCAGCCCCCACAGUCAGUUCCUCUGCAUCACUAAUUCUGUUUUAGACAAGACAAGGCUACAGUGAAGCACCUAAACAGAUGAGCUGUUAGGCAGAGCUGUAAAUUUACAUGGUGCAAGACCAAAAAUAUAAAUUGAAAAUUAAAUAUUUAAAGUUUAGAGGAGGGCAAAAAAUAGAUAAACUCUUUGAAAGAACAGCCAUUAUUAGAAAUUACAAAUCUGCAUGCUAAUUUAUGUGGUUACUAUUGACAUUUUCUUUCUAAUUCAGCUUUUAGCCCUUUUCUUGCAUGCAGAUAAAUUCUAGUUAAGAGCAUUGUGAUGUGCAGAAGGCUUAAUCCAACAGAAACCCCCUAAUAUGCAAUUUAAGGAUCUCAGGUUCAUUAAUAGUCCUAGGAGCAGCUUGUUUAACAGAUUAUUUCAUGGGGCUGAGUCCAUCUGAGACAGUGGGGACAGGAAUUGCCUUCCCACAGACACCCUUUGGAAUGUCCAGGCUCUGUCCAGGGGAUGGAGCUCAUUCCAAGGGCAUUCUCCACCCUCAGUCCAUUUACUGGACAGGUAAAAACUGCAGAAUCCUGGAGAGCUCUGUUUCCCUGCAAUCCCAGCAUGAGCUGUCCUGUCUGCAGGCAUUUCCCUCAGAAAAUGAAAUGAAUACCCAAGCACUCUGCUUCUCAUCAGCCAUCGAUUCACCUACUGGCAGUUUCAGUAAUAAAUUAGAUCAAUGUAAUUAUUGUAUGUGCACACAGAUGUCAAAUCACAAUCACUGUGAUCAGAUCAUCUGGGUGUUUCCUAGAAAAACAGUAUUUAUCCAUACUUGGUGGGGGAGAGAAGGUUCAUCUGCCCAUCCAGAACCCAAAAGAGACAAGCUUCCCAAUGAGGUUUUGAUGCUGUAUUUCAUGGACUAAAUUCUGAAAAUAAUUUACUCUGGGAAACGAACGUAUUAUGUUUCUAGUUCUGUGCUCUAUCCAACCACUUUCUCCUCAAUAGAUCCAACUAUCAGAAAGGCCAAAAAUUCCCCAAACUCUAUAGCUUUCAAUGUCCUGGAACAAGUCAAUAUUUUGUGGGCACAAUGCCCAUCUCUGGUGUUGACAGACAGCAGCUGAGCUGCAACAGAGACCCCAGAGGAAAGCACCAAGACCCCCAGAGAACAAACCCUGUCCCCAGGCCAAGAUACCCCCACAACAGGCAGCCAGACAUCCUUGCCCUGCUCCCCCAUGAACCUCCCUGCUCUCAGACCUGCACUGGGAUCCUCUGGGAAGCAGAAGAGACCUGUGGGGUGCUUGGCUCCUCCAGCACAUCCUCCAGGCAGGGUGAGGGCUGGCAGCUCUCCCUGCUUCUGCAGGAGCCUGCUCUGACUGACACCUGCUGCAGGUGAGUGCCCAGUGCCUGGGUGCUGCAUCUCCCCACCUCAUCUCCUGUUUACCUGUCAAUUAUCCACCUUAAAUUCUUCCACCUCCCCCCUGUUGACACCUGGGGAGCACAGGGUUAUGAAAUGCAGGCUCUGUUAUCUGUCAGCGCCCCAGAUAUCAGCAGUGCCUGUGCUCCAGGCUCCUGCAGCAGCUCAGGACUCUCCCGAGGCAGAGCAGCUCCCCAGCUCUGACUCGGGGUGCCGGGGCUGUGUUCAGAUCACACACCAGGGCCUCUCAGAGCCGUCCCGAGGAGCAGCCACCAGGGCCCGAGCCUACUUUGCUGCCUCCAAUUUAGCUUGUUAACCAUUCCCAAAAAUGACUAUAUUUUAAUUACUGUUUUCUGAGAAUUGGGAUUAUUUUCCUUCUAAAUAUAUUCGUCUGAUUAUCUCCAGGAUGAAAUUCAUUUGGUUAAUUACCAUCUUUUUAAUUUGUUUAAGACUGUGUUUCAGUUUCCUGUGCUGUAACACCUCCCUGCCAGCUCUGCCUGCAUUUAUUCAGUGUCUGAUAGAUUCCCAUCUCAGGGAACAAACAGAAGGUUUCCAUAAAAAACAUGCAGUGCCCCAAGCCUUGCAGGCAGCCAGGGAUCCCACCUGAAAUCCAGGGGAAGCAUUCAAAUGUGGAAACAUCUCAGCCUCCAAUUCUACUUCCAAUCAAUGCACUCAAUCCAAGCCCCUCAUGUAACGUCUCAUUCAUCAGCCAAACCACAGCGGUUUGUACCUGGAUCAUUCUAUUGUCAUCUUCUUACUACCCCAAAACAGCAAUAGACAAAUUCCAAUUUCAUUACCAAGAUCUUGAUUCCAGUCACUGAUGCAUUUACUGGAAGAACCCAAAGGUAAUUUUAUUUCCAGUUUCCUAGACUGUCCCAAUAAUAAAAAAUAAAACCUUCCGUGGGUAAUGCAAACGAGACCAAUGGAGACAUUAGGAGAAAUUUCAGAUAUUCUUAAGCCAAUAGAAACCCCACCCACAGGGAAAGGUCAUGACACCUGGUUAAAUUAUAUACAUGGGCUUGAACAGCAGGAACUCCAGGAGAGCAUCCAAAAGCUUGGGAAAAGAUGUUUACAUGGAGAACAGUGACUGUCCCAGCUGGGUGGACAAGGACCUUCCUCUCCCCAGGAGCUCAGCCAGGCUGAUUCCCACCUCAGUUUGCAGGGAUUCUGCACAGCAGCUCAGGAGGCUCUGCCAGGGCUGCCUCGAGUCCCUGGCUGUGCCCCAGCACAGCCCCUGGGCUGCCCCAGCCUCAGCUGCACCCACGUUUCUUUUCCAUGCCAACAUAUUUCCAUCUUACUCAGAAAGCUGUUUGUCCCUUAAUAGGGCACAUUUUCCAACCAGCUUUGUUGUUCUGCAAAUUAUGGGCUUUAAAGAAUUAAUGGUGGAAUAUAAAUCAAUUUAGUUCACUGAGAGAGUGUGUGUUUUAUGUGGUAGAGGUUUUCAAAGAAAAGUAAUUAGUUGAUUUGGCAUUUUAAUCUUCAGAAAAAUAAAGAAGCUAUUUUUCUCCUAAGAGGAUGUGUUUGAACACAUAAACAUAUGCUGCAUUUUCUGAAACUAUAUUAAGAAAUAUUAUUUAUUGGUUAGAUGUGGCUGAUAACUAUUUCUAUUGUCUCAGGAAGAUUCUUUGCGAUAAAGAUUUCACUACAGGGACUGCAUUUCACUUUCCAAAAUGCCUGACCAAAGGCUUUGAAAAAAAAAGCCAGAGAGGUCCGGUUUGUUUGUCUCCCAGGAAUGUCCCUUUCCCAGGGAUGCUCUUUUCUCCCUUCUCUGUUUUGUGGAGAUUCCAUGGCCACAGGGCUGACGUGUCCCAGCAGCUCAUCCCUCCAUAGCUGUGCCAGGCACUGUCCAUCAGCAGCAAACAGGCACCAGGGAGGCUCAGAUCCUGCUCUGGUGCCCGUGUGUGUGUGUGUGUGUGUGUGUGUGUGUGUGUGUGUGUGUGUGUGUGAGUGAGUGAGGAGAACUCAGGCAGAGCUGGGCUGAUGGGGAGCAGCAGCCCCCUCCCGGGGACUAUUGCAUAAGAUGCCUCUGCUUUGCAGUUUGUUCUCUCCCUGGCUGCAGCCCGAGUGUCUGAAGCCAAAGGGCUGUUUUGUGCUUUGGGAGAGAAUAAGCCUGUCCCACUGGUGAGUGUCAUUUGCCCUCUCCAUGUCUGUGCCACA